UCCCUCCCUCCCUCCCUGCCUUCCUCCCGCCCAUCCGCGCCUGUCGCCUCCCGCUGUCGCUCAGCUCUCCCGGCGGGGUCCCUUCUCCCUGGCACCGCCUGGCCGGGAAAGGAGCCUGACUCAUCCCGGCUGGGACUCGGCAGGUGCCAGAGGGAGCAGUCUCGUCCCGUCGUCCUGCACCCGUGGAAGAAGGGCAACGCUGCUCCAGACUCACCUUGCACCCGGCUGGCCAGGGGUUCUUAGCAAGGCAGAUCAGCUGCUCCUGCCAUGCCCCACUUCUUGGAUUGGUUUGUACCCGUGUAUCUGAUGAUCUCCAUUCUCAUCCUGGUCGGCUUUGGAGCUUGCAUUUACUACUUUGAACCAGGACUCCAGGAAGCCCAUAAGUGGCGAACACAGAGGCCAAUCAUGGAGCGAGAUCUUCGGAAGACACUGAUGAUUCGGGACAACCUGGCCUUUGGGGUGCCCGAGGUCUGACAAGCUGUCCAUCACAGCCAGAGGAAUCUCUCCCGGUCAAGGUUUGUGUGGCUGGGGCUUCCCAUGUGCUCACGACUCUUCAGCCAGCCAAGGACUUCUGCUCCUUCCCUUGGCCAAGACUGAUGGACCACUCAAAUGAAAUAUGCCUUGUUAAUCACUUGAGUUUGAGCUGCCUGGCAUCUUGAUGGGACUUUCAGCAGGAAAGGUACCUGGUUUUGCAAAGGGAUACAGAACCUUGUAUUCCUGUUCCCUAGGUUAAAUCUAUCAUAGUCUGUCUAAGUCCAAGGGGUAUUUUGGGGAAAAUAAAUGGGGUUUCAAUACAAAUUGUUGCUUUAGCUGAGCUCUUCCCAGCACCCACUCUCAGUGCUAGGAUGUUGAGCUUGCUGAAGCUCUGUGCAGGGGUACCAACGGCUCAAUGAGCCUCAAAGACUGAAUGCCUUUAUCCUUGCUAAAUGCACACCCCUUCUGUGUCUGUUUGGGAGAUGGAGAACAUCCAUCCAUACAUCCAUUCCAGAUGCACCUCAUUCAAAUUAAAGGUCUUUAUUAAAGAGGUUUGUUCAA